UGAAAUGAAACACCUGGUGAAACCAGAGUAGCAGAAACCUUGUGAAGUUCCUCUAAUAGGGCACCUGGGAGGCAUCCUCUUAGGUCAGAAGAUUUGAAGGACUAAAAAGUUAAUAGAGUAGAGUAACCCAGACAUUUGCGACAUAAGAAGAUGCCAAAAGUUGAGCAGCCCUGCCAGCAAUCCUGUCCCAGCUCAGACAGCCCAGCCUGCCUGCCUCUCCAUCCAUGCAGUAUGCAUACACAUACGCGCACCUUCCUGCCCGCAUCCAGCUCUCCUGUCAGAGGAUUCUGUCUUUGAACUGAACAAAGCCCUCACAAGCCAUGCUAUGAGUUGAGUCGCUUACCUCUGUCUCGGGAGGAGUUUAUCUCCCUUGACAAGGUUUUGUCUGGUGUUAGCAGCGGGGCUGAUGACAGGCUGUGCAUGCAGCAGCAUGUGACCCCGGCUCCUGGCCUCGGCGCAGGCAGUCGUCAGAGCUGUCACGCAGUCAGAACAAGUUAAUUCAAUGCGUGAAGGGCGAGGUGCGAGCUGUAAUAAUAUCAGGCCUCUGGAGAGGGUGCUGUCAUACAGCGUGUACUGGCGGCUGCCCCAGCU
rnacentral:lncRNA from 1 species